rnacentral:rRNA from 1 species
UGGGGAAUAUUGGACAAUGGGGGGAACCCUGAUCCAGCCAUGCCGCGUGUGUGAAGAAGGCCUUCUGGUUGUAAAGCACUUUAAGCGAGGAGGAGGCUCUCUUGGUUAAUACCCAAGAAGAGUGGACGUUACUCGCAGAAUAAGCACCGGCUAACUCUGUGCAAGCAGCCGCGGUAAUACAGAGGGUGCGAGCGUUAAUCGGAUUUACUGGGCGUAAAGCGUGCGUAGGCGGCUUUUUAAGUCGGAUGUGAAAUCCCCGAGCUUAACUUGGGAAUUGCAUUCGAUACUGGGAAGCUAGAGUAUGGGAGAGGAUGGUAGAAUUCCAGGUGUAGCGGUGAAAUGCGUAGAGAUCUGGAGGAAUACCGAUGGCGAAGGCAGCCAUCUGGCCUAAUACUGACGCUGAGGUACGAAAGCAUGGGGAGCAAACAGG